GUUCAAAGUCGCGUCAGGACGCAAAAUGCAGUCUUCACAGUUUAUACCUUUAUUCAGCUCCACUCCGAAGAAGCAUAAGUGAGACAUCACUGCUCCAGCAAUGGGCACUGACACCAUGCCAGAGAGAGACUGGAGCCUUCUUGACAGUUUGCUGUCCACUCGCCAAACCUCAAGUCUAUACAGCUGACAGCGCAUGUCCGCGAGUUUUAAUGGUCAUUUUCUCUUGAUGUCAGCAAGAGGAUCUUAACCAGCAAGAGACCAUGAACAUAAUUGGACCCACAAGAAACAUUCAUCUUGAUUACAUUCAAUUUGAACCAAUAAGGAUUGGGUAAGUACUGGUCAUUCAUCAAAGUCAGAUUGGAGGGACUUAGU